rnacentral:lncRNA from 1 species
CAAACUGCAAGACUAUUAUGAAGAGAAAACAACUGUGACAAAUUGAUUUAGUAUUACAAUCGGAAAAAAGUAAAAUUAGAUAAAGUCUUCGAAAUUUCAUUUCUUUGCUCAAGAAACAGUCUGAACACUUUACAAAAGACAUGCAACUGGAAAAUGUCUAUUAUGAAACUAAUAGCCUCAUGAAUGAGACGACAUGCCACCUCCUUCCAUUGCCACAAUUGGCAGGCUCACUUAGUUGACAUCAGAAGCUACACGUUUCCUGUCUCCAUUGUGAGUAGUUGGUGUUUGAUGUUUGAAAUGGCAAAAAAAUAUCUAUAAGAAGCAUCCAUAACACCAGUUGAUCUGUUGGAUAUCCGGCAAUGGAAAACUUGUUUUGUGGCCUUGCCACAUUCACAUGAGAGCUAUGGACGGUGGCUAUCUGCAAAAUAACUCGUUAGUACAUAUCCCACUCACCAGAUCUUGGAAUUCAACAUUAAAUAAUUAGGAGUGAUAAAUUAAUAGAUCCAUGCAUGUAUUGCAACACACGAAGAAAUUACAGGUAGUAAAAGGAAGAAUGCUACACAGCUUCACAAAAGGAAGAGUAAGAAAAAUCAGCGAUAUGAAGGAAAGUUCUACCUUUUCUAUUUCAUGGCGGAGUUCGAUAUUUUCAGACCAACUUCAAUUGAGAAUGGACAUGCCAUGCUACCCACCGAAGCCAGCUAUGUGCUGCUCAAAUAGACAAAUACUGCCGAGUAAUUGUGAAGCAACGUUUUGGAACUAUUGGCUCGCUUAUAGAUAUCGGCAUACUGCCGGGAUGAAAAUGGAAAUGAUCAAUAGCAGACUAGUUAGGCUAUCGGCGUACUGCCGGGAUGAAAAAUUGAAAUGAUCAAUAGCGGACUGAAUAAGUUAUGUAUGCAAAAGCAUGCAUAUAACCAUGUAGAUGAAUUAAUAUUAAAUGGG